AGAGUUUGAUCAUGGCUCAGAUUGAACGCUGGCGGCAUGCUUUACACAUGCAAGUCGAGCGGCAGCGCGGGGGCAACCCUGGCGGCGAGCGGCGAACGGGUGAGGAAUACAUCGGAACGUACCCCGGAGUGGGGGAUAACGCCGCGAAAGCGGCGCUAAUACCGCAUAUGCUCUGUGGAGGAAAGUGGGGGAUUCGCAAGGACCUCACGCUCUGGGCGCGGCCGAUGUCCGAUUAGCUAGUUGGUGAGGUAAUGGCUCACCAAGGCGACGAUCGGUAGCUGGUCUGAGAGGAUGAUCAGCCACACUGGGACUGAGACACGGCCCAGACUCCUACGGGAGGCAGCAGUGGGGAAUUUUGGACAAUGGGGGCAACCCUGAUCCAGCCAUGCCGCGUGCGGGAAGAAGGCCUUCGGGUUGUAAACCGCUUUUAGUCGGGAAGAAAAGGUUAUCCCUAAUAAGGAUGACUCUUGACGGUACCGGCGGAAUAAGCACCGGCUAACUACGUGCCAGCAGCCGCGGUAAUACGUAGGGUGCGAGCGUUAAUCGGAAUUACUGGGCGUAAAGCGUGCGUAGGCGGUUCGUUAAGUUCGUUGUGAAAGCCCCGGGCUCAACCUGGGAAUGGCAAUGGAAACUGGCGGGCUUGAGUAUGGCAGAGGGGGGUGGAAUUCCGCGUGUAGCAGUGAAAUGCGUAGAGAUGCGGAGGAACACCGAUGGCGAAGGCAGCCCCCUGGGCCAAUACUGACGCUCAGGCACGAAAGCGUGGGGAGCAAACAGGAUUAGAUACCCUAGUAGUCC
rnacentral:rRNA from 1 species